UACAUAGGUGUCGAGCGUUGUCCGGAUUUAUUGGGCGUAAAGAGCUCGUAGGCGGUUUGUCGCGUCGUCCGUGAAAACUCACAGCUUAACUGUGAGCUUGCGGUCGAUACGGGCAGGCUAGAGUUCGGUAGGGGAGACUGGAAUUCCUGGUGUAGCGGUGAAAUGCGCAGAUAUCAGGAGGAACACCGAUGGCGAAGGCAGUGGGCUGGGCCGGCACUGACGCUGAGGAGCGAAAGCGUGGGGAGCGAACAGG
rnacentral:rRNA from 1 species